GACGAACGCUGGCGGCGCGCCUAACACAUGCAAGUCGAACGGAGACAUCUUUAGCUUGCUUUAGAUGUCUUAGUGGCGGACGGGUGAGUAACACGUGAGCAACCUGCCUUUCAGAGGGGGAUAACGUUUGGAAACGAACGCUAAUACCGCAUAACGUAUACGGACGGCAUCGUCUGUAUACCAAAGGAGCAAUCCGCUGAAAGAUGGGCUCGCGUCCGAUUAGCUAGAUGGUGAGGUAACGGCCCACCAUGGCGACGAUCGGUAGCCGGACUGAGAGGUUGAUCGGCCACAUUGGGACUGAGACACGGCCCAG
rnacentral:rRNA from 1 species